CACACCUCCAUCCAGAGUAACACCGAACCUUACCAAUCACCAUUGGGAGCAAUCCAGUCUUCGCCAAUCACGGUUUCCUGGAGAAGCCAUAGCAUUGUAUGGAUUUAUCUUCAAGGAACUUGAACUGUGAUUCAUAUUACCUUCAUGACCUAGAAAAGGGAAAGUUAGGGGUUGGAUUCAACUGGAAAAAAAAGAAAAUGAGGAUGGUGAAAAACAAAAUUCCCUGCCUUUAGAGCUGCUGAUCCCAGGGAAGAUGGCCCUUUCACUGGGUUGCAAGUAUAGCCCAGGACCCAAAAUUGAAGUGAGGUAUCUGCAGCCCAUCAAACUACCUCCCUUACUUCUCCUUUGAAGAUUGAACUCACUCUGGCUUUAUUUCAUUUUUCUUCUUUCAUUCUGUGUCAUUCUGUGGAACAUUUAAAAUAGUUACCUCUGGUUUAGCAAGACCAUAACUAUUGCAUUCUUCUUAAAGAGUAUGUAUUAUCUACACUGCUGACCUAUCCUGCUCCAGUCCCCUAAGUGUCCUGUCAAUAGAGAAUUGGACAAAGAAUUUGGUUGUCUCCCAAGUGGUCAAACAUCAACAUUCUCUGUAACCAGAGAGUGUUUAGAGUUGGUCUCAUGAGUUAACAUGUAUUUGAAAACAAAGUGCUUUAUGAAUGAUGAUGAUGACGAGAAGUAUGAUGAUGAUGAUGUCAUUUACUAGAAUUCCCACUCCAAAAUAUGGAGCUAAAGGGGUUUCUGCAUCUCCUAGUCUCUUCUCCCACCUCUCCCACUUUCAGGACAUGUUCCUCUGUUUUCAUCAUGUGAUGGAGGGUCCUUGGAAAAUAGCCAGUAAGUGCCUUACAUAUCUUAAUAUCAUGGAUCCUCACAUAUUGUCGUGGGAGGUAGGUGCGGUUAUCAUCCCCAUU